rnacentral:tRNA from 1 species
GGAGCUGUGGUUCAGUGGUAGAACAGUUGUUUGGCAUGCAGAAGGUUCAAAGUUCAAUCCCUCAUAACUCCA